GCUCAGCAAUGAAUGGGAAAUCAAAACAUUAAACAGUGCAAACAAGAAGACUAUCCUAUUUUGCAGGAAGUUUAAGAUACUCCAUUCAUCCAGGUCAUCCAUUUUUUAUCCUAUUAAAAGGUGCUGUUAUUUGAGUGCAUUGAAAUGAGAGGUGCAAACCCUCUGUAGAUUCUGGGGUUACCGCUACUUUGGCUGUUCUGCGUUCCAGGAAGGAUUGUCGUGGAGACCUGUGAGCCUGGGACUGAGGAGGACAUGGACUGUACCCGAGGUUUAGCUCAUGAUAUCCAAAGGGUCCUGUUCUCCUGCUAUAUAUUAAGAAUGACUUUCAGGGAAACACCUGGAAGUGCUAACACUGUGGUGACAGAAGAAUGCUGGAAUAAAAGAGGGAAGAAGUUGGAUAUCCUGACAGUUCUGCAGUCCACCAAGUCUGUUGUUUCUCCUCUGUCUUUAUAAUGGCUAUAAAAUAUGAGCUGGGAGUAUGAUGUCAAUGCAUCCAAUUUCAAUAAUUGAUAUGAUGAAUAAUCUCAACCUUCUGACACCUCCUGUAUCUCCUCACAUCUCAGGAAACUUCAUUCAUCAACCACAUUUGAAAUGUUUAAGUAAUCUCAGUGAUGUAUGGAGCACUGAAACUCCCUUGUUAGAAAUCUAUGCUAGUAACAUUCUAUCAAAUUAAAAAGCCACUGAGCUCUUGUGCAUAAAAUUAUCAUAAAUUAUCUCUGAAGGUUCAUUGCUGUUUGGAAUGUUUAAUUGCUCACUCAGCUGAACUUCAGCAGCUCAAGAUUAUUAAUCAAUUUGUCAGAAGGUUUCUCAUAAUGUCGUCUUUCACCCUGCAGUUAUACGCGUGGAAAACCCAUGUGCAAGACAGUUUUAUGCAGGAAGUCAACAGUAGCCAUGCAUACCUUUCACAAUAUUCCUUUCAUAUAUUUAAGAGUAUUUUUGGUUGUUGAUUUCUCACAGAAAAUGGGGAAAUUCUAAUUACGUCAGCCUAAUUUAUUUGGUUGGGAAAAUAGAUUCUCCAAAACAAUAUUUAUAAGUAAGAAUGGAAGCAGAUAAUAAAAAUGGGGACUUUUGAAGUUUUUAAUCCUGGUCUAAUGUUGAUUGUUGUCAUUAAAAUAAACAUUUCUGCUAACUGCAGUAACAGUGAAGAUGUUUCGUAAAUGCCAUGCCUUCGGCGUACGUGAACAGUUUCUUCAGCCAGUUUUCUUACCAGAAAAUGCAUCUUUGCUUUAAAGUAAUUUUUCAUGAAUUUGGCUUUGAUGACAUACAAAAACAAUGUAUUUCAUCUUAAUUGAAAUACAUCUUUCAUUAUUUGUUUUAAAAAUGUCUUUUUUAAAUUUUAAGGGUUAUGAAUUAAUCCUUUUUAUAUGAUUCUCUUCCUUUUGUUUUACAAAUGCAACUGUGUAUGAGAAUUUAGGAGAGGGGUGAUGAUAGUGUUUCCAUUUAUAAAUAUUUUCUCCACCAAAUCUUUUAGGAGUUCUUUCAUGCAACACGAUAGAAAUAGAGGAAUCUGCUUUUCCUGCUGCAGAGAAUUGAAAAGAAUUUGGGAUGUUUUGGACUAAUAUACUUAAGGAUUCUUUAAGCCACUCCAGGUAUUUUCUUAAGCUAAAAAAGUUUCAAAAUAGAAAGAGUGGAAACAUUAAGGACAUUAUCCUCUUUCUUCUACUCCAUUAAUGAAAGUCAUAUUGUUUCCUAUGCAUGUAGAAAGAUAGAAGGUGAAUGUUACAAUAUAGUUGAUAAGUUCCAAGUAUGUAUUUGAUAUUAGGUAUUUAUGCAGUAUAUCACACCGUGGUAUUUCUACCAAAAAUUGAAAAUGAAGGAAAGUAUCAGUAUUUUUUCUUUGACAAACUUCUUUCAUAAAAUUAAAAUAUUGGAAUGAUAAAUACUAUUGUGUGUCUAAGAAAUAUUUCAGGUACCAGAAGUAUGCUGAGAGCUAGCAUUACUCUUUUUUUCCUACAAGUAUUCUCACUGUAAUCUUCAAAGCCUUUCUUAAAACAUAUUAUGUCCAU